UCCGUAGGGUGAACCUGCGGAGGGAUCAUUG
rnacentral:rRNA from 1 species